AAUUCUCAACUUCAAAGGGCUUGUCUUUUUGAAGCUUGGACGUUGGAGGAUUAUGCAGGCAUAUUUUUUGUAUGUCGGCUCCUCUUAAAUGUAUUAGCAGGACUUGUACGUUCGGCUCUGGUUUGAUAAAUAGUAUCUAUGCCAUGGCUGAGAAGUCGUAGUUCAGCUUCUAAUUGUCUGUCUGGACUGUCUCUUUAGAGGCAUCACCUUGG
rnacentral:misc_RNA from 1 species